CGGAGCACUAGGAGAACUUUUAAGAUGGGAGGAAUGAUAAGUCUCCUGGGAUCUGGCUCAGGAAUGCUAUGAUUUUAUAGACCUUAGAGUAAAAGUUUGAUGGAAUGAUUUGAGAAAAGGCUUAGAAUGGGUUCAAAAAGUGGCCCUUAGAAGAGAAGUUAAUGCCGGCUAAUGAACUCUUAAAGUAAGGGAGUUUGAGAUGCCGGACAUCGAAGCAAUAAGUAAUAAAAGCAAAGAAGGUAGGAAUGCAAACGGGAUAAAGAGGAGUAUUACGAGCGAUGCAAAAGUUUGAAAAAGUUUGCUAAGUGAAGGAAUCAGACUUGAGCAGAGGGAGCCAAGCCUGAAUUACAAUAAUAAUUAGCUGACUAGAAUAGAGGAAUGAGGGAUGAAUUAGUCGAGUAUCAGGUCUUCAAGGUGGUAUCUGGCAUGAUUGACUUAGAAGAGGAGCGGCCUUUAUUACUUCGACUACGGCUGCAUUGUCGCAUAAAGCGGCCAUGUGUUCCUUCCAUUAGUUGCCCCAGGCACAGCAUGCAAUAGAGAUGGAGAUUAUCUCAUAAAGGCUGACGGUUCGGAUUGGGGAAAGAAAGUGGGCAGAUGGCAGCGAACCAUGGACCCUGAAGAAAUCCCCAAAACCCACAGACGAAGCUACGUCCGUGCAAAACCGAAUGGAGUCUGCUGACGUGACGACAUGAUCAUAAAGGAAAGAUAUACCAUUCCGGUUCUGCAGAACAGUGGACCAGAAAAACAGGAUUUGGAGUUCUGCUGCCUGCAACUUACACCUUUUCGACACUAGGUGCCACCAGUAGGAGUGUACCUGAGGCGACAGGUGUUGUGCAUCUACUCAUCAGCUCGGACGCAUAUAGAGGAAGGUUGCCAACACCUUGGCGCCUGAGUGUUUUUGCCUCCGUGGUGUGAAUCCUACCUGAUCUGUUCCAGUCCUCCGUAGUGGCUAAGGCUACUUCCUG